rnacentral:rRNA from 1 species
AGACGUCUACAUUAGAUACCCGGGUAGUCCCAGCCGUAAACUAUGCGCGUUAGGUGUAUCGGUGACCACGAGUUACCGAGGUGCCGAAGGGAAACCGUGAAACGUGCCGCCUGGGAAGUACGGUCGCAAGGCUGAAACUUAAAGGAAUCGGCGGGGGAGCACCACAACGGGUGGAGCCUGCGGUUUAAUUGGACUCAACGCCGGGAAGCUCACCGGAUAGGACAGCAGAAUGAUUGCCGGGCUGAAGACCCUGCAUGACUAGCUG